AUUGAACGCUGGCGGCAUGCCUUACACAUGCAAGUCGAACGGUAACGGGCCUUCGGGUGCCGACGAGUGGCGAACGGGUGAGUAAUACAUCGGAACGUGCCCGAUCGUGGGGGAUAACGAGGCGAAAGCUUUGCUAAUACCGCAUACGAUCUACGGAUGAAAGCAGGGGACCGCAAGGCCUUGCGCGGACGGAGCGGCCGAUGGCAGAUUAGGUAGUUGGUGGGAUAAAAGCUUACCAAGCCGACGAUCUGUAGCUGGUCUGAGAGGAUGAUCAGCCACACGGGGAGUGAGACACGGCCCAGACUCCUGGGAGGCAGCAGUGGGGAAUUUUGGACAAUGGGCGCAAGCCUGAUCCAGCCAUGCCGCGUGCAGGAUGAAGGCCUUCGGGUUGUAAACUGCUUUUGUACGGAACGAAAAGCCUUCUUUUAAUACAGGAGGGUCAUGACGGUACCGUAAGAAUAAGCACCGGCUAACUACGUG
rnacentral:rRNA from 1 species